UUUUCUGAUUGUUUUAUUUAUUUCGAAUAGAUAUGUUUCACAGAUUAAUAAAUAAUCGAAAUGCUAUAUGUAUAAAAAUUACAACUGUAUAACUGCCCUUCAAUAGUACUUCAAAGAAUUGAUUUAUCAUGUAUCGUAUUCCACGUGCUUAUACUCUCUUAAAAACUUUGCAGUUUGCUAAUAUGAUGCACUAUUGUUUAAUUAUACUUUUGAUCAUGUUCAACGGUCGAUAUUUGUAGCUACUCUGCAAGACAUAACAAGCAAAACGAAAUUUGAUGUUCCCCGCGGGAGGUAUUGCAUAUCUACGUAUGUAUAAGUAGUCUAAAUUGGCCUCAAACGUGAUUUAUUAUCCGAAGUCUAAAUAAAGGAAUAAAACAAAAACAACAUUCAGCAUAUUAUCAAGCGAACGACCACCGAACGAUAUCAAAGGGAAAAUACGUCUAAUAAUCAACACACCAUCUUCCGUUACUAUUUUCGUUCAAUUAAGCGAUCUACUUCCGAUUUCCUCUCCUCCAUACACCUACACAAACAACAAUAGCCAUGUGUUUUUUUUUCUCCUACAGUUGUCUUCAUUUUCUUUUCUCUUGAACAAAAAAAAAACCAUUCAGAAUUUCACACUAUCAAUUGUUUCGAUCGGUUAUUUCUGCAUGAUCAUCUUCAUCAUCUGCCAAAGAGAUUGACCUCUCCAAUGCUCUUCGUUUGCUACACAGGCAAUUAUCAUAGUUUUACUCCGGCCCAUGUGCACUACUUGCGUUCGUUGGAUUAUAAUUGAUACUCCCGCUAUGUUUGGGAUUGGUAAACGGCGCCUUUAGUUUUUUUUGUUUUCGAUCCGGCAGCGCUAAUGAUGGUUUCGCAAUAUGGUUUGCUAUAAUUGAAUUGAAUUGAACUUGAAAUCGAGCCUUAUCUGCAUGGCUGGGGGGAAUUUGGCUUUAUUCUUACGCAAACAGGUGCGAGCAGAAUUUUCCCGAAUAAGCAGAUUUGCAACGGGAUGUGUGAUGAGGAGAUGAUCGGUUCCCUACGCGGCUAGGAUUGUUCAAAUCGCGAACAUUCCGCUUUUGGAUUGAAUUAGAUUAGUUCUCUUUUGUAGUAUUUUAUUUUGUUAUAGUUAGGCUUGGUAAAGUAGGUUAAAAUUGUACUUUCUUCUCGGUUCUUAUGUUUGCUGCAUGCUCUAUAUAAUUUAAUUUCUACGUUUCUUUUCUUUUUCUUAUCUGGAAUACAAACAUAUAAAUAGAAACUUCUUGAAAGUGGUUUCCUUUCUCUCUAUGUUUUAGAAUGUACCUCCCUCUGUAGUUUUGCAUCUCUAAAAAUACUAUACAUUACAUAAGAUCCUCGUUUCUUAAAUAGAACCGUUGCUUGUUAAUGGUGAAGGUUAGAAUGUGGAUUUUCUUCUUUGAACAAUUGAUUUGCGGGUAGUGAGUGAUAGCUGAGUAUAAUGGGUAGUGGGAAUUACAUAACGUUAUUUUUUCUACUCGAUGAAAUUCAGGUAUCUUACGGAGAUGUUAUCGAGCACCACUUUUCGAUCAGAGUUUUCGAUCCAUUUAUCUAAGAGUUUCAAGCUGACAGAACUCAGAACUGAAACCAAUGAUCCAACUCCUUUUCAGAGAAGUUAAGUUAAAUUUGAAACAGUUGAAAAAACUUGUAA